rnacentral:lncRNA from 1 species
GAGUCCCCAGAAAAUGGGAUGAAGCUGUUCCAGGGGAUGUUUAGGAUGGAUUUUAGGGAAAGGUUCUUCCUCCACACUGCCCAGGCUUCUCAGGAAAUGAGAUGAAACUGCCAGGGAAGAUUUAGGAUGGAUUUUAGAGCCCCCAGAGGGUGCUGGGCACACCCAGGCUCCCCAGGGAAUGAGGUGAAGCUGUGCCAGGGGAGGUUUAGGAUGGAUUUUAGGGAAAGAUUCUUCCUCCACAGAGUCCCCAGGAAAUGGGAUGAAACUGCCAGGGGAGGUUUAGGAUGGAUUUUAGGGCCCCCAGAGGGUGCUGGGCACACCCAGGCUCCCCAGAGAAUGGGGAAUGGGGUGAAGCUGUGCCAGGGAAUGUUUAGGAUGGAUUUUAGGGAAAGAUUUUUCCUCCAGAGAGCCCCCAGGGAAUGAGGUGAAACUGUGCCAGGGGAUGUUUAGGAUGGAUUUUAGGGAAAGGUUCUUCCUCCACACUGCCCAGGCU